ACGGGGGGUUUAAGCGAGGAGGAGGCUUACCUGGUUAAUACCCAGGAUAAGUGGACGUUACUCGCAGAAUAAGCACCGGCUAACUCUGUGCCAGCAGCCGCGGUAAUACAGAGGGUGCAAGCGUNANUGG
rnacentral:rRNA from 1 species